GAGUCGGUAGCUCAGCUGGCAGAGCAACGCCCUUUUAAGGCGUGGGUCGUGGGUUCGAUCCCCACCCGACUCA
rnacentral:tRNA from 2 species